GAUGAAGAACGCAGCGAAAUGCGAUAAGUAAUGUGAAUUGCAGAAUUCAGUGAAUCAUCGAAUCUUUGAACGCAUCUUGCGCUCCUUGGUAUUCCGAGGAGCAUGCCUGUUUGAGUGUCAUUAAAGUUCUCAACCAUGCCAGUUUUCUCUGGUCCAUGGCCUUGGAUGUGGGGGGUUUAUCAUUUUCCUGGCUUUGGAGACAAAGUCGGCUCCCCUGAAAUGCAUUAGUAGUAUUCGAGCAGAAAUCUACCACAGGUGUGAUGAAUUAUCUAUGCCUUGGUAUCAACUGUGUGCACUGCUUUCUCUAACAACAUUUGACAAAUUUGACCUCAAAUCAGGCAGGACUACCCGCUGAACUUAAGCAUAUCAAUAAGCGGAGGA
rnacentral:misc_RNA from 1 species